AAACCGGUUCUCGUACGAACACCGAAGUUAAGCAAUGUUGAGUCUUGUCAGUACCGAGAUGGGUGACCGAUUGGGAAUACCGGGCGCGGUA